GAUGAACGCUGGCGGCGUGCCUAAUACAUGCAAGUCGAGCGAACGGACGAGAAGCUUGCUUCUCUGAUGUUAGCGGCGGACGGGUGAGUAACACGUGGAUAACCUACCUAUAAGACUGGGAUAACUUCGGGAAACCGUAGCUAAUACCGGAUAAUAUUUUGAACCGCAUGGUUCAAAAGUGAAGGACGGUCUUGCUGUCACUUAUAGAUGGAUCCGCGCUGCAUUAGCUAGUUGGUAAGGUAACGGCUUACCAAGGCAACGAUGCAUAGCCGACCUGAGAGGGUGAUCAGCCACACUGGAACUGAGACACGGUCCAGACUCCUACGGGAGGCAGCAGUAGGGAAUCUUGCGCAAUGGGCGAAAGCCUGACGGAGCAACGCCGCGUGAGUGAUGAAGGUCUUCGGAUCGUAAAACCCUGUUAUUAGGGAAGAACAUAUGUGUAAGUAUCUGUGGCCAUCUUGACGGUACCUAAUGAGAAAGCCACGGCUAACUACGUG
rnacentral:rRNA from 1 species